rnacentral:rRNA from 1 species
ACGCUCGACACCUACGGGAGCAGCAGUCGGGAAUAUUGCGCAAUGGAGGGAACUCUGACGCAGUGACGCCGCGUAUAGGAAGAAGGUUUUCGGAUUGUAAACUAUUGUCGUUAGGGAAGAGAAAGGACAGUACCUAAGGAGGAAGCUCCGGCUAACUACGUGCCAGCAGCAGCGGUAAUCUGAGCGGGCUGGCAAGGC